GAUGAACGCUGGCGGCGUGCCUAAUACAUGCAAGUCGAGCGAACAGACGAGGAGCUUGCUCCUCUGACGUUAGCGGCGGACGGGUGAGUAACACGUGGAUAACCUACCUAUAAGACUGGGAUAACUUCGGGAAACCGGAGCUAAUACCGGAUAAUAUAUUGAACCGCAUGGUUCAAUAGUGAAAGACGGUUUUGCUGUCACUUAUAGAUGGAUCCGCGCCGCAUUAGCUAGUUGGUAAGGUAACGGCUUACCAAGGCAACGAUGCGUAGCCGACCUGAGAGGGGGAGCGGCCACACUGGAACUGAGACACGGUCCAGACUCCGACGGGAGGGAGCAGUAGGGAAUCGUCCGCAAUGGGCGAAAGCCUGACGGAGCAACGCCGCGGGAGUGAUGAAGGUCUUCGGAUCGUAAAACUCUGUUAUUAGGGAAGAACAAAUGUGUAAGUAACUAUGCACGUCUUGACGGUACCUAAUCAGAAAGCCACGGCUAACUACGUG
rnacentral:rRNA from 1 species